AGCGAACGCUGGCGGCAGGCCUAACACAUGCAAGUCGAACGAACCUUUCGGGGUUAGUGGCGGACGGGUGAGUAACACGUGGGAACGUGCCUUUAGGUUCGGAAUAACUCAGGGAAACUUGUGCUAAUACCGAAUGUGCCCUUCGGGGGAAAGAUUUAUCGCCUUUAGAGCGGCCCGCGUCUGAUUAGCUAGUUGGUUGAGGUAAUGGCUCACCAAGGCGACGAUCAGUAGCUGGUCUGAGAGGAUGAUCAGCCACAUUGGGACUGAGACACGGCCCAAACUCCUACGGGAGGCAGCAGUGGGGAAUCUUGCGCAAUGGGCGAAAGCCUGACGCAGCCAUGCCGCGUGAAUGAUUAAGGUCUUAGGAUUGUAAAAUUCUUUCACCGGGGACGAUAAUGACGGUACCCGGAGAAGAAGCCCCGGCUAACUUCGUG
rnacentral:rRNA from 1 species